UGCCGAUUCCUGCAAACACCAACUUAAAUCUAAAUUUAUCUUAGAAAACCUAAUUUUAAUUUAGUUUAGCAAAAAGUGCAAUUCUGGCUUUAUGGUCGUCUAAAUUUAAAAUAUUUUAUCAGGAUGUUUGACACGCUUAAAUUUAAUAGAACGUCUACGAGGUCUAUGGUCAACCAGCUGGUGUCGUUUUUUUCGUAAAGAAUUGGUAAAGAAGAAUGAAUGGAAGUGAGUGAAUGAAAUCGUCAUUUGAACAAAAAAAUACAUGUUUUUCUUAUAAUUUCGUACGAAGGAAUACAAAAUCAUAAUUUAUGUGUGUUUUAGCAGCAAAUACAAUAAAUAAAUGCAAUAAAACAUUUUUCUAUGAAUUUUAAAACAUACAUCUGGCAUUAUUCUAAACCAUAAAAAACACAGCGUCAAGAUCAUACUUAAAAAAAAAACGUGUUGAGAUUAGGUAUCGUUAGGUUUUCAAAUCAAAAAUACUUAAUAAAACACAAAAAUGACUAAAUAAAAGGACGUCGAUGAAGAGGAAGACCAAGGCGGAACUAGUAAAAGUGGAAGUUGUGUUGUAUCAGAACGACGGAACUCGCUGUGAAUGCAUAUUAAAAGUCCUCAACCAACAAGACUCCUAUCUUCUUCUUCGUCGUUCCCUCACUGCUGAGGAUCGCGACCACAGUUUAUGGUUUUCCACUCGGUACGGCUAUGUGCAGCGUGCACCGCCCUCUGUAUGCUGCCGCCCACCGUCUUCUUCACGAUGUCAGACCACCUCGUAGGCGCCCUUCCUCGCGCACGUUUGCCAUCCAUUUGCCCAACGAUGAUCUGCUUCUCCAGACUGUGCUUCGGAGACCGCAUAAUAUGUCCGAAGAAGCUUAGGGCACGAUUCCGGCAUAUUGAGGAGAAGCCGCGUCGUGAUCUUGAGCUCUUUUAAUAUGGACUCAUUCGUACACGUAAAUAGCCUUAAAUUACCAAGUAGAGAAAGUCCAGCAUGAGGUGAGCACGAAGUUUUGAAGACAGGAGUGAUUGUAUUAGAUUUCCUCCUGAGCAGUUGCACUACAAAUUUAGUGAUGAAGAGGCAAUACUUGACAGAAACCUUAAGUGGGAUGACAUAAUUAUAAAGAAAAUCAAUAAGAGGAUGAACUAUUUUAAUGUUUAUAAAACAAUAGUAUGGAAGAAUUUUGAUGCAUCUUGGAGCAAUGGCAACAUAUUUGGGAGUUGUGAGUGACAACGAGCAGAUUACAUAACAAUGGGAGGAUAACAAGGGCCUUAACUGAAAAAACUGGGAAUGUUCCCAAAUAAACCUCACAGAUGUAGAAGAAAGACAAAAUAAAUUUGUUUAUUUUAUUUCUGUUCCCUACUAAACUAGUAAUAAAACAUACUUGUUACAAAUA